CUGACAUGGCCGCCGAAGAGAUAAAAGAUAGGUCAUUAUUUGAAUGUAGCAAAUUUGUGAUGUUUCGCGAUUAGAAGAGGGCGUAGGCUUGGUGUAACAGAUACAUUUAUAGAAACUUCUAUUGGUGAUAUAGUUCAUGAAGCCAUUUCAAAAGCGUGUUGGACCCCAAUCAAGAAAAAGACGACAAAGCACUCGACUCUUCAAAUUUCGCGCACCUGCUUCAACGCUACCCGCUGAAUUGAUUUUAGGUGGUUCUAAUGGUUUUGCGAUAACAUAUCGCUUCGGCUAAAGAAUUGUAUUUCUUACUAGGGUCUUGUUGAAAUCUAAAACAAUGUUCAUUGAAACUCUUGAAUUCACAAUUCCUAUUGAUUUGUGUAGCCUGUGUGCGACUCUACAGAAGGGAUGUUCUGACAUGGAAUUCCCGGCUUCGGUCAACUCUUAUGGCACGACGCAAGAUGCAAACAUUCAGGUUUUGUUAAAAUCAAAUAAACUGACUUUCAAAGUUGAUGGUGUGUCAUCAGGUGCAAGCAUUAUAUCCAAAAAUGAAUGCAAGACAUUGAAGCUAUCAGUCUUUGACGUGGAUAGAUCAUUAAUGCCUCAGGAAGAUACAAACUUUGAUCAAAAUUCAAGCAAUGUGCAUCAUCCAUUACCUACAAUAAACCAUGGCAAAAGAACUCGUGAACAGUCUGUUACAAUGCCAGCAAAAGCAAGUAGAAAUUCCUUUUAUGAUUCCCCAACUAUGACGAAACACAAGUCGCCAACAACACGUCGAGGGUCAAACAGCCACCAGUCAUCAUCAUCAUCAUCAUCAUCAUCUAAUAACACAAGACUACCUUGCAAUGCCACAGUUAAGACAGAGCCAGAAGAACCUGACUUGAUAGAAAUAGAGCCUGAUCCACAUCCUGCGGAAAGUGUCAAGAAAGAAGUCCCAUACAUGCAAAUUGACUUUUCAUCAGAUGUACCUCAUACGCAAACGUCCCAAGCAGCUCUAGAUCGACUCUCUCAUCCACAACCUUCUAUUUCGCAUUCGCCCGGCUCUUCAUCCUCAUCUUACCAACAAAACGUUCCACAUGUGCCAGAUUACACCGAACCCAGUACUAGUCAAGCAAGAUAUGGUGACCAAAGUGCAGAUGACUUUUUAGUAUUCCAAGAUGAAAACGAUGAAGUAGAUGACAAUGAAGUUGAUUUCAGCAAUGACGGUUUGGGACUGAUACCAAGCCAGGCUAUAUCGGGGGCAGAUAUCCAGGCUAUAUCGGGGGCAGAUAUCCAAGCUGACUUUGGGAAAAUAUAUGGAAGUGCAUUUACUAAGAAUUUUGACGAAUUCCUUUCCUUGCCACUUGGUGACAGUACUUCAUUGAAAAGACUUUGGCAGUGUGAACAUUGCGGGAAAACCUUCACAAAUUCCAAUAACAAAAGGUUUCACGUUGAGGCAGUGCAUGGAACUAAAACUUACACUUGUGUUUGUGGGAAGCAGUAUAAAUAUCCAUGUAACUUGAUCAGACACAGGAAUGACUGCGCUUUUGCCAAACAAGCUGCAAGUCAAUCUGACAAUGUACAACACUAGUGAUGAUUCGACAGAUUUGGGGACUUGUGUGAUGAAUCCAAAUCAAGAACUACCCAGCCAUUCUAAUCCAGGCCCCCGAUCUAGAGUAGUUGACAUAUUGCUUAGAGGGGACAUAUCACAUGAUGCUUUGCGUGAGCCAGACAUCUUCAAUGAGUUGGCUUACAGGAAGCGUGUGUGGCAGUGUGAGGAGUGUGGGAAGUGUUUUACUAAUGGCAGCAAUAGGAAGGGUCACAUGGAGGCUGUCCAUGGUAUUGGUGAUGUGAAGAUGUACACCUGUGUGUGUGGCAAUGCUUACAAAUACCCGCGAGGACUCUGCAGACAUAAGAGAACCUGUGCAGUUGUUAUGCAGAUGCGUUCACAGCAGGGGCAUUGAGCAAAGCUGAGGUGGAACAUAGCACAGAGAACAGGCGUAUGUUGGUUUUGGAACGGAAUUGAAUCAAGGGUUCGGCAACCAUUCUUACCAUGACACGUACAGAGACGAUUCUAGAGGUGUAUUGUCUUCACAGCAGAUCCUUCCUUUUUUCAACAAAACGAUGCAGAUAUUUUCGGAUGAUUUCGCCGACUCCAACAGGAAAGGACUGUAUGUGUGUGAGCACUGUGGCAAGAGCUUCACAAGACCUCAGAACAAACAAAUCCACGUGGAAAGUGUUCAUGGCAACACGACAUAUUCCUGUGUCUGUGGUAAAGUCUACCGACACCCCAGGGCCUUACAGAGACACAAGAAAUCAUGCUCAUCCUGUCUGUCAUGACAUGGCCGUGUAUAAGGAAAUAUUUGUGAGUCUGUGGAAAGAGUUGCAGAGAUGCCUGUUUUACAUGUCAACCAGUUCUAACUGAGGACAACUUCUGGUGUGUAUGGAAUAGUGGUUGAUACCAAGAGUAUAUGCAGACUCCCAGGUCCAGGAAGUAAGGCUGAGGUCUCUCACACCUGCACUACAUCCUCCCGAGGCAAGGGAGACAACUGACUAUAAAAGUCCAGUUUCCACACUUGCCGAACUAGGCUGGUAUUAUGGAGAUACAAUUUGUCUAGACUAACGAGUCUAUGCAUAGUCCAAUCAAAAUUGCACACUGAAAUUGAAAUCAGGUUCGUGAACUGUCAUGCAGAUUUCGGUCGAUAGCAGAAUUUCCAAAGCAUGUGCACCACCAACUGGUCAACAUAUUUUCCAGAUCUUUUCAUGUUUUUAAUCAAGGUGCUUGCGUGAUUUGAUGCACUUCGCGAUGUAAGACCUGUUUUAUCGCAAUAUAGAUCCCCAUUAUUGAUCAGAUCGUCUUGACUGGGUGCCGCCAUUUUGUUUGAAACAAAUGCAAGUGACAUGAGAGGUGGAGUCUGAUUCGCCCAUAGGAGAGGCUUAGAAUUGACAUAACUUGUAAUAACCAAUGGUGGUGCUACGAUCGAGCCCAGGAAUUCCAGCCUAGUUCGGCAAAGGUGGAAACUGGACUAUUAAAGUCAGUUGACUCCCUUGCCUCGGGAAGAUGGCACUUCAACGUCAAGUUGAACUUUUCUGAACAUAGCAUGCUUUGUUCAGUGUUGAUACAUAUCAUUUCACAACUUACCUGAACCUGGCUUUCAAACUGGUACUGUCAGGUAAAGUCCAUUUUACAAUAGUGUCAAAUAUUUGUGUUGUCUUGAAAUAACAUGAGAGUGUGUAUUUGACAUGAAACAGCAAUUUGGGGUAACAAUGACAAGACUUUAAUAAUAUCAUGUUUUCAAAAGGAUACAUUCACACGUGAAUAGUCUGGUGUUUUAUGAGCCGGACAUUUCUCAAAGCCAAACCAGACAGGAACGGGUCUUAGCAUUGUUCACAUCAGGAUUUAAUGUACCAGAACAGUAGAUUGAACAAUGCAUAGUUUGGAUGUUCUGAACAUGGUGAAGUGUGUCCAGACAUUGGACUUGUUGAGUUUUGAUUUGACCUGUCACAGUUCAGUUGGUCCAGAGGACAGGGCAUGCCAGGUCAACAGGUCUUUUUUUUUUGUUCCAAAUAUUUAUCAAGGAUUUGUCACUAAAUGUCUGUCACAGGCCCAUGGGAAAAAGGACAUUCUCUACAAAACUAAGUAUUAAAUCCCUUUUGUCUUUAUAAGUGAGGGGGGGGGGUGUGGUUGGGU